GGGUAGAUGUCCGAGCGGCUAAAGGAGAUGGACUGUAAAUCCAUUGGCGUACGCCUACGGUGGUUCGAACCCACCUCUGCCCACCA
rnacentral:tRNA from 1 species